GACCCACCACGCCCCCUUCUCCCACCUCCGGCGCCGGGCGACGCGCCCCAGCUCCCACCUCCGACGAGGCGCCACGGCCUCCCACCUUCGGCGAUGCGCCACGGCCCUGCUUCCCAUCUCCGGCGACGCGCCGCCCCUGAACCCCGUCUCCUCUCUCGCGCCGCCCCCACUCGCCCCAGAACGCGUCCGUUCCUCCCACGGAGCCAAGCUCGCGCACCGUCGUCCCUCCCACCGCGCCGAGCUCGCACUCCAUCGCCGCUGGUGCCCCCAUCCUCGCGCCGUCCGUGACCCCUCCACUACACUCCUCUGCUGCAAGAACACGUCAGUUCGUGUGGAGAAUAACAGUCCGUCAGUUCGAUAGUUCGUCAAUUCGCCGAUUGGAUCCGUAGCAGCAGCGCUCGCUCCCCAAUGGUUGCCGGCGCAAGGAGGAUACAGGGAGGCGACAGUGGUGGAGUCAGCAGCGUUCCAUGGCCUUUGUCCUCCUCGUCGCAUAUUUUCUUAUAAACAACAAGAAGAAAACAAGGCAUAGGCUUCAUGCUCUCCAUCUCCUGGUAAAGGGGAGUUAAGCUCUACGGCCACUUGGAUGUGGAUGCUCAUGCUCCUCCACUGGGCGAGCUUCCAGGGCACCACGGGGAUUGAUAUUGUCAUCUCUACCAGUCGGCCAUGAGGGCCAAGAGGUUGCCUGCACCCUGCUGAAUGAAAUGCCACUUCUGACCAGCACCUGGCCUAAUGCCGGACAAGUUCUAUCAGUCCUCUCUCGACAAAUCCAACAGUACAGGUUUUCCGGGGUGCCAAGUAUUGCCGGCGGCGAUGCCUGCAUCAUGGCCCAUUGAGGAGAUCAUGCCGUUAGUUGUAGGUUUUUCCGUAUGCACAUUUAUUUGUUUAGCUUUAAAUUUUUGUUGUUUUCCACAUUCGAUAAUUGUGUUAAUGCUUCUAUGUUGUGCACUUCUGAUCCCAUUGUGAGGAAAAAGACAAGUGAGAUAAGUACUUAUUUGGAAAGUUUGUAAGUUCAAGCACAAAAACCUAGAAGUUCAUUGAAAAAGUUUGGUGUGGUCUUCUCCACCAUGAGCCCCAGUGUGGAUCACCUGCAGCGGCCAAAUUCCGGCACGCCCAGCCGCUGCUCGUGAACCCCACCUCCACCAGCUCGACUUCAGCGGAGCCGUCAGUCCGCAGGAGUAGGGGUUGCAGGUUCACCCGACGUGUGACGCCUUCUUCCAUCUCCAAAAAUCUUGUUUAUUGAGUUCAGUUCUUCGUCGCAUGUUUCACUAGCUAAAAAAUGUAUGGUCUUCUGAAAUUGCUUGCGAACCACUAGCUGAAAAAAUAAUCCCUCUUCUAGUAAGUUCUGGUCAGAGUUCAGACUAUACCAAAUGUCCAAAUUACAUGGUGUGGUCUUCUGUUCUUUCCGUUCAUUUCAAGUUAACUAUAGCUGAACUUGUGUUGUGUUGAUACUGAACUUGUGUUUUGACUGAUUCUAAACUGACGCGUAUCCAACAUUGGUGUUUAAACAAUUUUUGAUCCAUUGACUGUUUGAACUUGCAACCUUACUUCCUUGAACUAUGGUCUAAAAAAACUGAACUCAUGCAGGUACUUGGUGGUGCAGACUUGGUAGCGGUGAUAUCUUGGUUCGAUUAUAUAUCAACAACAGUGCAAUGACUGAAAAAUCAUCAGUUCAAAAUAUAUAUGCAGGAGGUUUGCGAACCAAAAAGCUGAUAUUUUGUUGUGUUUAAAUUUUCAGGUGCCUGAUUGAACAAGAUAUAAAAAUAAAAUAUGAUGUAUGAUAUAUAAUUUUUUCUUGUAAGAGGUUCAAAGAUUGUCGUGGAACAAGUUAAAGAGUUCAGUACACCUGCGUCAGUCAUCCAUCAUCUUCUGACAUCUAGUAUCGAAGUCUCUCCCCCCCUCGCCGCACACACAGACCGGGCGGUCGAGCACCUCCUCAAGUGAGAUGGGCGGCGAGGCCCUACCAUCUCCCGGUGAUGGCUUGCCGGCACACCCUGUAGAUUCACCUCUCACUCGCGCCACGGCCGCAGCUUCACUCCCGUGUGCCACCCUCGGCUGCCGCGCCAUGGACUGUUCUCAGCGGCUGCGGGUGGAGCAGCUGGGUCGAGGAACUUUGCCUUGAUAGUACAACAUCACACUCUGCUGUCGGUCGUGAGAAGAGCUGCGUGCAGGCCACCCCGUGUCCGCCCUCGAUCCAUCUCAGUCAUCUCCCUCUCAUCCUCUCUCUCUCUCUGGUCUGUGUUUCUGUGUGCAGGGAGUGGGAGGAGAUAGAGCAGGGGAGCGGGAGGCCCUUCCAUGGCAAAUUCGUUGGCAUCUUCCAUGGAGAUUGCGACCUCUCUUGAUUUUUGCUUGAGGAUUUCUCCUCUGGAUCUGUCCACUGUAGUUCUUGUAUAGCGGCGUCCUUUUUUCUAGUGUUCCUCAAUGUUGAUGCAUGUGUUUAAUAACCCACUCAUAUGAAUUCUAAAAACAAGCUUCAGUACAAGAAAAAUGGGUCGUUCAGUUCAAUUCUGAAUUAUAGGUGUGUGUAAACACAUCCUCCUUACACAGUAACUAAUUAACUAUGAUACCAUGUUCAGACUUCUACAAAUCCCGAAACUAUGCAGAGUUAGGAUUGUUACUACCUUGUUUCUUACUAUUGAUUCAUUUUUAUACUAUAUUGAGAUGGUACAUGUAGUUGGACAUCUCAAUAUACUGGUGAUUGCUUCUUGCUGCCUCUAUUUUUAUCAUGAUUUGGUGUGUGCACUGCAGCAGUGUUUUUGUUCCUAGAUCAGUUGCUCAACGACAGAAUUGUGUAUCGCACAGUACAUGUAUUACUACUAUGAAGGUUCAGAAAUAAGAACUCAAAGAAGUAUUGACAGCAUAGCUACUGUAUAUUCAAGGAGUCGGGUUUUGCUCCUUCGUCAUCUCAUCUCCUCCGUUCAGCAAAAGCCUCGAGAUAAGUUCACACAUAUGGUUUUGUUCUUUCUAUAAUUCUUGAGUCCAAACUCCUUCGUUUUUUGUUCCUUUGAAAUUAAAUAAACCUGUAGAAGUUUGGGGUAUAAAAUUCUGUAAGUUCGAAUUCGGGAAACUAGAAAGUGCAGACAAAAUUAAAACUGUCAAAGAAUUAUUGUAGGCAAGUUUAGAAGUUUGGUUUCAUGAGAAAAAAGUAUGAUUUUCUAUCAGUAUUUUGUAUGAUUCAUUUGCCACAACUAAAAAUAAAAAAUUAGACAAAAAACAAUUUUGUUUACUAUCGGUAAUGCUCUCUCCACCCUACUGUCUGUUUUGGUUGAUGAACAAGUACGGGCAAAAUAUGUUGUAUAGGGCAAGUUCUUGUAUUAGUGCCAGGCAAGUUCAAAAAAUAAACCGCGGCAAGUUCAAAAUGAAAAUGUGGCAAAAACAAAAAGGGAGUUCGGAAGUAGGAAUUUGGAUGUAUCUGCCAUUUUUCUUUUUUGUGCUCAGGUUUACAUGAAAAUACACUUUUAGUUUCAGGAAUUGAAGAACUUUUUAGGAAGAAUUAGCCUUUUGAGCUACUGUUGAUGGCUGGCAUUUGUGCCCCGAAGUACGAGUUUGGAAGGCCAGUAAGUUCUACUCUGGCAUAAGCCAACGGAGCAUCGGUCGAAGAAGGCCGAGGCGCCUCGUGCCAGCUCCGGGCAUCUCCGGAGGCCCUACCUGUUCUUCCACCGCCCAUGUGCACUCACCGUUGAGCCUAUCCAUGCACAGCUCUAGUAUUGAUGAGCUUCAGGCUUGUCGUUGUUCAUGCAGAUUAAUUCUUUGUUAAUUGCUAUUGCACAUUUAGUAAAUGUAGCCUUUGUCUUCUCAGUGAAGUUUUAUUGUGAAGAUUUUUUAAUGCACACCGAAACCAGAUUGUCUGCUGCUACAUGCGCAUCAUAUGCGUAUUUUUCCAUCGAGAAACCUCAUCAUAUGUAAAUGUCUUCUAAGUCUAGAUUUUGAUGAUGCAAAGUUGUAUCCGUGUACACAUUUCUUAUUUCUAUUGCUCUUGGUUCAAAUGACCAAUUGCUAUGAGUUCCUAUGUGUGUUAGAGAACAAUAGUGUUUGGCCGGGUCAAGCUUUGCACUAGUGGAAUUUUUUUUGUACCCUUGUGUGAAAGCACUUUAUUUUCUGAUGAUUAUUAUUAUUGUCAUGUGGGUGUGGUUGAACAUUUGCAGUGCAGGAAAUAGGCCUGUGCUUUUUGUGUUGCGGUGGGUGCUAUGGAUAAUAUGAAAAUGUGCAGUCGGUG
rnacentral:rRNA from 1 species